rnacentral:rRNA from 1 species
AUUGAACGCUGGCGGCAGGCUUAACACAUGCAAGUCGAACGAUGACUCUCUAGCUUGCUAGAGAAGAUUAGUGGCGGACGGGCGAGUAACAUUUAGGAAUCUGCCUAGUAGUGGGGGAUAGCUCGGGGAAACUCGAAUUAAUACCGCAUACGACCUACGGGUGAAAGGGGGCGCAAGCUCUUGCUAUUAGAUGAGCCUAAAUCAGAUUAGCUAGUUGGUGGGGUAAAGGCCUACCAAGGCGACGAUCUGUAACUGGUCUGAGAGGAUGAUCAGUCACACCGGAACUGAGACACGGUCCGGACUCCUACGGGAGGCAGCAGUGGGGAAUAUUGGACAAUGGGGGCAACCCUGAUCCAGCCAUGCCGCGUGUGUGAAGAAGGCCUUUUGGUUGUAAAGCACUUUAAGCAGGGAGGAGAGGCUAAUGGUUAAUACCCAUUAGAUUAGACGUUACCUGCAGAAUAAGCACCGGCUAACUCUGUGCCAGCAGCCGCGGUAAUACAGAGGGUGCGAGCGUUAAUCGGAAUUACUGGGCGUAAAGCGAGUGUAGGUGGCUCAUUAAGUCACAUGUGAAAUCCCCGGGCUUAACCUGGGAACUGCAUGUGAUACUGGUGGUGCUAGAAUAUGUGAGAGGGAAGUAGAAUUCCAGGUGUAGCGGUGAAAUGCGUAGAGAUCUGGAGGAAUACCGAUGGCGAAGGCAGCUUCCUGGCACAAUAUUGACACUGAGAUUCGAAAGCGUGGGUAGCAAACAGGAUUAGAUACCCUGGUAGUCCACGCCGUAAACGAUGUCUACUAGCCGUUGGGGUCCUUGAGACUUUAGUGGCGCAGUUAACGCGAUAAGUAGACCGCCUGGGGAGUACGGCCGCAAGGUUAAAACUCAAAUGAAUUGACGGGGGCCCGCACAAGCGGUGGAGCAUGUGGUUUAAUUCGAUGCAACGCGAAGAACCUUACCUGGUCUUGACAUAGUGAGAAUCCUGCAGAGAUGCGGGAGUGCCUUCGGGAAUUCACAUACAGGUGCUGCAUGGCUGUCGUCAGCUCGUGUCGUGAGAUGUUGGGUUAAGUCCCGCAACGAGCGCAACCCUUUUCCUUAUUUGCCAGCGGGUUAAGCCGGGAACUUUAAGGAUACUGCCAGUGACAAACUGGAGGAAGGCGGGGACGACGUCAAGUCAUCAUGGCCCUUACGACCAGGGCUACACACGUGCUACAAUGGUAGGUACAGAGGGUUGCUACACAGCGAUGUGAUGCUAAUCUCAAAAAGCCUAUCGUAGUCCGGAUUGGAGUCUGCAACUCGACUCCAUGAAGUCGGAAUCGCUAGUAAUCGCAGAUCAGAAUGCUGCGGUGAAUACGUUCCCGGGCCU